GAUAAACGCUGGCGGCGUGCCUAACACAUGCAAGUCGCACGUCCUUUCCCUUCGGGGAGAGGGAGUGGCGGACGGGUGAGUAACACGUGGGUAACCUACCUUUGAGUGGGGAAUACCGGCGAGAAAUCGCUGACAAUUCCGCAUACGCUUGCUUUGGCAAGCAAAGCCGAAAGGCGCUCGAAGAUGAGCCCGCGCCCGAUUAGCUAGCUGGUGGGGUAAUGGCCUACCAGGGCAAUGAUCGGUAGCUGGUCUGAGAGGACGAUCAGCCACACUGGGAUUGAGAACGGCCCAGACUCCUACGGGAGGCAGCAGUGAGGAAUUUUCCGCAAUGGACGCAAGUCUGACGGAGCAACGCCGCGUGCAGGAUGAAGGUCUGCGGAUCGUAAACUGCUUUUACCAGGGAAGAGAAUGGACGGUACCUGGAGAAUAAGCCCCGGCUAACUACGUGCCAGCAGCCGCGGUAAUACGUAGGGGGCGAGCGUUAUCCGGAUUUAUUGGGCGUAAAGCGCACGCAGGCGGUCGUGUAAGUGGAAGGUCACAGCUCCUGGCUUAACCGGGAGAGCGUCUUCCAAACUGCAUGACUUGAGAGCGAGAGAGGGACAUGGAACUCCGGGUGAAGCAGUGAAAUGCGUAGAUAUCCGGAAGAACACCAAGGCGAAGGCAAUGUCCUGGCUCGUGUCUGACGCUCAGGUGCGAAAGCGAGGGGAGCGAACGGGAUUAGAUACCCCGGUAGUCCUCGCCGUAAACGAUGACCACUAGGCGUGGGAGGCAUCGACCCCUUCCGUGCCGCAGCUAACGCGAUAAGUGGUCCGCCUGGGGAGUACGGUCGCAAGACUAAAACUCAAAGGAAUUGACGGGGACCCGCACAAGCAGCGGAGCGUGUGGUUUAAUUCGAUGCAACGCGUAGAACCUUACCAGGGUUUGACAUGCACGCGCACCGUCCAGAGAUGGACGUGCCCGCAAGGGACGCGUGCACAGGUGCUGCAUGGCUGUCGUCAGCUCGUGCCGUGAGGUGUUGGGUUAAGUCCCAGAACGAGCGCAACCCCUAUGGGUAGUUGAAACUCUCUAACCAGACUGCCCACUUGAAAGUGGAGGAAGGUGGGGAUGACGUCAAGUCAGCACGGCCCUUACAUCCUGGGCCACACACACGCUACAAUGGCCGGUACAAAGGGCAGCGAACUCGCAAGGGGGAGCCAAUCUCACAAAAUCGGUCUCAGUUCGGAUUGGAGGCUGCAACCCGCCUCCAUGAAGCUGGAGUUGCUAGUAACCGUGGGUCAGCACACCACGGUGAAUACGUUCCCGGGUCUUGUACACACCGCCCGUCACACCACGAAAGUCGGCAACACCUGAAGCCGCCGGGCUAACCCUUCGCGGGAGGCAGGCGUCGAAGGCGGGGUCGGUGAUUGGGGUG
rnacentral:rRNA from 1 species